ACCAACUCCUGCAUGCUCGCACACCAAGGAGGAAAGCUCUUUGCCAGUUCCUGCUCUGCUCCCACUUUUUCUCAUGAACCUCGGGGGAGGCCUGUGGGGAAAAAAGCUUGCCUCUGAAAGCCAUCAGAUGGCCCUGAAGGAGUGAGGUCUGACACCUGAACCCCAGGCAGAGAUGGCAGCUUGCAAGUUUGGUCCAGAGCCAGAUGAUUGUCCAUGUCUGGCUUCCUCAAAGUGUCUGGGAAACACAGAGGCCCACUCUCUAUGUGAAAGAAAAACAGAAAUGCCCGCAGCAAAACACACUGUCACCUGGAACUGGAUUGGGAGUCAAUUUACCUCUCAUCAGAAU